rnacentral:rRNA from 1 species
CCUACGGGUGGCUGCAGUGAGGAAUAUUGGUCAAUGGCCGAGAGGCUGAACCAGCCAAGCCGCGUGAGGGAAGACGGCCCUACGGGUUGUAAACCUCUUUUGUCGGGGAGCAAAGAGAGUCACGUGUGACUCAUGGAGAGUACCCGAAGAAAAAGCAUCGGCAAACACCGUGCCAGCAGCCGCGGUAAUACGGAGGAGGCGAGCGUUAUCCGGAUUUAUUGGGUUAAAAGGGUGCGCAGGCGGAGGUGCAAGUCAGCGGUAAAAUUGCGGGGCUCAACCCCGUACUGCCGUUGAAACUGCAUCCCUUGAGUGCGGGAGAGGUAUGCGGAAUGCGUGGUGUAGCGGUGAAAUGCAUAGAUAUCACGCGGAACACCGGUUGCGAAGGCAGCAUACCGGCGCUCAACUGACGCUCAUGCACGAAAGCGUGGGUAUCGAACAGGAUUAGAUACCCCAGUAGUC